rnacentral:rRNA from 1 species
AGACUGUCUUUGUUAUUUUCCAUAUUAAAAUUAUUUUAGGUAGUGCAAAAACUUCCGAUUUUUCUAUUAGACGAGAAGACCCUUAGAGUUUUAAUUAAAGAGUUUUUAAACUCUCUGUUUUUGUUGGGGCAACAAGAUAACAUUAUAAAUUUAUCCUUUGACAUUAUAAAAAUGGGGCGAAUAUACUAUUAAGUAAAGUAAAACUACCUUAGGGAUAACAGCAUAAUUUUACAUUAAAAGUUUGUGACCUCGAUGUUGGACUAG